rnacentral:misc_RNA from 1 species
GAUGAAGAACGUAGCGAAAUGCGAUAAGUAGUGUGAAUUGCAGAAUUCAGUGAAUCAUCGAAUCUUUGAACGCACAUUGCGCCCCUUGGUAUUCCAUGGGGCAUGCCUGUUCGAGCGUCAUUUGUACCUUCAAGCUUUGCUUGGUGUUGGGUGUUUGUCUCGCCUUUGCGUGUAGACUCGCCUUAAAAUAAUUGGCAGCCGGCGUAUUGAUUUUGGAGCGCAGUACAUCUCGCGCUUUGCACUCAUAACGACAGCGUCCAAAAGUACAUUUUACACUCUUGACCUCGGAUCAGGUAGGGAUACCCGCUGAACUUAAGCAUAUCAAUAAGCGGAGGA